GAGUUUGAUCUUGGCUCAGAUUGAACGCUGGCGGCAUGCCUUACACAUGCAAGUCGAACGGCAGUACGGGAGCUUGCUCCUGGUGGCGAGUGGCGAACGGGUGAGUAAUGCGUCGGAACGUAUCCUGGAGUGGGGGAUAACGUAGCGAAAGUUACGCUAAUACCGCAUAUUCUGUGAGCAGGAAAGCGGGGGACCUUCGGGCCUCGCGCUCUUGGAGCGGCCGAUGUCGGAUUAGCUAGUUGGUGAGGUAAAGGCUCACCAAGGCGACGAUCCGUAGCAGGUCUGAGAGGAUGAUCUGCCACACUGGAACUGAGACACGGUCCAGACUCCUACGGGAGGCAGCAGUGGGGAAUUUUUGGACAAUGGGGGCAACCCUGAUCCAGCCAUGCCGCGUGAGUGAAGAAGGCCUCGGUUGUAAG
rnacentral:rRNA from 1 species